GAACACAGGAGUUACUGCUUUUAACACAUCUCACUCAAGAAGGUGUUUAUGAAAAUGAGCUGAAAUUGGAGACUCUGUGGAAAAGAAACAAGCAAGAAUCUACAAACUCAGGUUCUGGUGGAACAGAAAACCUUACUGGACUGAUUAGCCUUGAACAUCACAGAAGUUUGGAUUUGGAGACGAAAAUAUGUAAGUGAACACAUGGAGGUGAACAGCAGAAACUGAAAACUUUUAUCUUAAAAUGCUAAUUUUAGUUUGCUUUCAUUUUUAAAAUACUUUCUCUGCACUCAAAAAAACUUCACAGAACUUCACAAAACUUGUAACAGAAUUUUGUGAUUUUCACAAAAUCUGUAACAGAAAGAAAGUUUGAAGUGUUGAUGUUUAUGCUGGAUGCUAAAUAUUUUAUGUGAAUGAGUCUUGGUUUUAAUUGGACAAUUUUAGUUAUUUUCAUUUAUGAGUUGUUGUUGCUUAUGGGACAACAAUAGAGAACAAAUGCAGCCUGGGCCUUUUUUUAGAAAUGCUGUGAAAGCAUGGCCCCUACCAUUUUGUCAUGGUCAGGGGAAGCCUUACCUUACGCAUCAUAUGCAUACUUAUCUUGUGCAAUGGCAUCAAUGGUCCGAGUCAUCUUUGGACCCUAGGUGAAUGUACCAUUGCUGCUUGCUUGACAACUAUCCAUCAUGGCCUGGUGCAACCUUGAACUGCAUUUAAGAGGCUGAGGUAAUCUGUAACAAAGCAGAGUCACAGAGGUAGGAUGCAAGUGCAGGGCGUUAUCUGUUACAAAACAAGGUGCAAAAACUGAAACAAUCUUAAAGGAUUUGUGCUUGCACUAAAGGCAGGAAAACCUGCCAUUGAGCAAGGGGCCAGAAAGGUCUCCUCACAGCAAACACCUAUCAUGCUUGAGUCCCCUUGGCUCUGGAUUCUAGUAGUGGCCAGGUUCUUGGGUGGGGGACCUAUUGCCAAUCUUACUGUCUCCUUCCCCCAGAUCCCACUCUUGCCCCAGUUGACAUGGAUACAUCAUGUGACCCUGGGCUCUUUUUUUUUGGUAAGAAGGAUGGGUCCCUCUGACCCUGCAUUGACUAUCGGGCCCUUAACCCUCUGGGGUCGAAAGACGCACCGGUGCGUCUUUGGCGCAUUUUUUCCUCUUCGACGUGAAGUCCACUUAAAAUACUCCGUCAUUCAUAGUCAUACACAUACAUGUAAUACAUCAUUCGAAACUGUGAAGUGUCUACUUUUAUUUGAGUGCCUUCAUAUUAACAACAAAACGCUGUGCUUUUGGCAAAUAAAGAAAAUAACCAGGUUGUGCAUUCAGACAUCUCCGUGAACUUGCCCUUCUUCCUGAAACACGUUACAAACAUGAACUGAUAACUCCGCCAAUACUUAUCACACGAACAUGAUACAUAUGUCUAAUGAAAGCCUGAAAUGUCUACUUUUAAAUGAGGUAAUUAAAAUCGAAAGCAAAUAUUGUCUUUUUGUGUAAUCUGUAUGUAAGUAAAGAGAGGUACAGUUUUUCUGGCUCGACCUCAUUACCACUAAUGUGAUCCCACCUACCGCCGUGCGCGCCAUUCAUAUGGAAAUUACCUGAGCGGGCUAUGCAAAUAAGAUCAAUGCCCCCAAUGUAAGAAGCACAAAGUUUUAACAGAUUAAACAGAUGAAGAUGAAGAGCAGGACUCCGACGACGAACGUUUGUAUUUUGAAGAGCGACUUGAUCCGCGAGCGAGGAUAUAAUUUCUGAAGAGAAUGUGGCUGCAUCACUCUUGUCUUCACCUGCACCGGCUGCAACACUUUCACCUUCGUUUGAUGCUCGCACGGGGGCGCGCAGCAACGAGAACAAUAAGGAGAAUGUGGCUGCAACACGUUCACCUGCGUCUGAUACGCGCACGAGGGCACGCAGCAACGCGAGCGACAUUCAUCCAGUGAAUGUGGCUGCAACACGUUCACCUUCGUCUGAUACUCGCACGAGGGCAGGCAGCAACGCAACUGGGAACAAAAAAGAGUACAUCCACAUGAAUGUGUCUGCAUCACCUUUACCUUUACCAUCACCUGCUACUCACACACGCCGUAGGUCUCUUUCAGUUCUCAAAGCAACUGAGACUAAUGUGUGUUCAGUUAAAUAGGAACUGUUUUGAGCAAUGGCAUGACGACAUUUAAACUCCAUUCUCAAAGAUUUACAGUGUGUGAUGGCUUACAAAUUUAUAUCUUAUUUUUUAUAUUGUAAAGAAUCAUUCCAUACAAUAAAGCUUCUUGACUCUUGA